rnacentral:tRNA from 1 species
GCGAGUGUAGCUCAGGUGGUUAGAGCACUCCCCUGAUAAGGGAGGGGUCCCAGGUUCGAGUCCUGGCACUCGCACAA